rnacentral:misc_RNA from 1 species
GAUGAAGAACGCAGCGAAAUGCGAUACGUAAUGUGAAUUGCAGAAUUCAGUGAAUCAUCGAAUCUUUGAACGCAUAUUGCGCUCUCUGGUAUUCCGGAGAGCAUGCUUGUUUGAGUAUCAGUAAACACCUCAACUUCCAUAUCUUUUUUGAAAUGGGAGCUGGACUUGAGUGAUCCCAACGCUUUUCCCCACCGAAAAGUGGCGGGUUACUUGAAAUGCAGGUGCAGCUGGACUUUUCUCUGAGCUAUAAGCAUAUCUAUUUAGUCUGCCUCAAAAACAGAUUAUUACCUUUGCUGCAGCUAACAUAAAGGAGAUUAGUUCUUGUGCUGACUGAUGCAGGAUUCACAAAGACAGCUUCGGCCGACUUUGUAAACUCGAUCUCAAAUCAAGUAAGACUACCCGCUGAACUUAAGCAUAUCAAUAAGCGGAGGA